rnacentral:rRNA from 1 species
AAUCAACGCUGGCGGCGUGCCUAACACAUGACAAGUCGAACGACGAAAGUGGAGCAAUCCAUGAGUAGAGUGGCAAACGGGUGAGUAACGCGUGGGCGACCUACCUCUGAGUGGGGGAUAACCUUCCGAAAGGAGGGCUAAUACCGCAUGACAUCCCGUGUUUGGAUACACGGACAUCAAAGCCGGGGAUCGCAAGACCUGGCGCUUGGAGAGGGGCCCGCGUCCGAUUAGCAGUUGGUGAGGUAACGGCUCACCAAGGCUCCGAUCGGUAUCCGGCCUGAGAGGGCGGACGGACACACUGGAACUGAGACACGGUCCAGACUCCUACGGGAGGCAGCAGGUGGGGAAUUGUUCGCAAUGGGCGCAAGCCUGACGACGCAACGCCGCGUGGAGGAUGAAG